rnacentral:rRNA from 1 species
GAUGAACGCUGGCGGCGUGCCUAAUACAUGCAAGUCGAGCGAACAGACGAGGAGCUUGCUCCUCUGACGUUAGCGGCGGACGGGUGAGUAACACGUGGAUAACCUACCUAUAAGACUGGGAUAACUUCGGGAAACCGGAGCUAAUACCGGAUAAUAUAUUGAACCGCAUGGUUCAAUAGUGAAAGACGGUUUUGCUGUCACUUAUAGAUGGAUCCGCGCCGCAUUAGCUAGUUGGUACGGUAACGGCUUACCAAGGCAACGAUGCGUAGCCGACCUGAGAGGCGGAUCGGCGACACUGGAGCUGAGACACGGUCCAGACUCCUACGGGAGGCAGCAGUAGGGAAUCUUCCGCAAUGGGCGAAAGCCUGACGGAGCAACGCCGCGUGAGUGAUGAAGGUCUUCGGAUCGUAAAACUCUGUUAUUAGGGAAGAACAAAUGUGUAAGUAACUAUGCACGUCUUGACGGUACCUAAUCAGAAAGCCACGGCUAACUACGUG